rnacentral:rRNA from 1 species
AUUGAACGCUGGCGGCAGGCCUAACACAUGCAAGUCGAACGGUAACAGGAAGAAGCUUGCUUCUUUGCUGACGAGUGGCGGACGGGUGAGUAAUGUCUGGGAAACUGCCUGAUGGAGGGGGAUAACUACUGGAAACGGUAGCUAAUACCGCAUAACUUCUCAAGACCAAAAAGGGGGACCUUCGGGCCUCUUGCCAUCGGAUGUGCCCAGAUGGGAUUAGCUAGUAGGUGGGGUAACGGCUCACCUAGGCGACGAUCCCUAGCUGGUCUGAGAGGAUGACCAGCCACACUGGAACUGAGACAAGGUCCAGACUCCUACGGGAGGCAGCAGUGGGGAAUAUUGCACAAUGGGCGCAAGCCUGAUGCAGCCAUGCCGCGUGUAUGAAGAAGGCCUUCGGGUUGUAAAGUACUUUCAGCGGGGAGGAAGGGAGUAAAGUUAAUACCUUUGCUCAUUGAAGUUACCCGAAGAAGAAGCACCGGCUAACUCCGUG